CCUUAUAGUGGGGGAGUAGCCUUUCGAAAGGAAGAUUAAUACCGCAUAAGAUUGUAGUAUCGCAUGAUAUAGCAAUUAAAGGAGCAAUUCGCUAUAAGAUGGACCCGCGUCGCAUUAGCUAGUUGGUGAGGUAAUGGCUCACCAAGGCGACGAUGCGUAGCCGACCUGAGAGGGUGAUCGGCCACAUUGGGACUGAGACACGGCCCAGACUCCUACGGGAGGCAGCAUG
rnacentral:rRNA from 1 species